AACCACGCACUGACGACACAGCGCAUGAGAUAUGUGUUUGUCAUACCCUGUCUUGCUGUGACUUCUAUAUAAGCCCGGUCCGCUUGUAAAGCCUCCCAAACACUGCCAGUAAGGAUUACAUCAGGACCUAAACAGGAAGAAGUAUGCAUCUGCCAGUGUCUUCCCGUGAUGCGUGUAUUCUAAUUACCAUGGUGCUGACGACCGCGCAUGCCGUUCCCUGUAGAGGACCCCAGUGUCUAGAGGACAUGUUAAUACACCAAGACCAAGCUGAUAACGUCCUCUACAAAAUUAUGUUUUUCCUACGCACGGUUUUCACUAACCCCGACAAUGACAGGUUGUCAAGGGACAUAGUACACAGGUUGUACAGGGCACCACCCCCCGCGCCCACCCAGAAGGACCUUAUGCCCGAGAAGAAGGGGCGCCCGUACAGCCGCUUUCUAAGGAUAGGUCGUAGUUCUGGCCAGCACUAUUCUCUGGGCGCAGAGAAGAGGAAUUACAUAAGGAUAGGAAAGAUACCAUCGUCCGCCUUCAUGAGGCUCCGGGGAAGUGCGAGACAAGAUGCCGUGGUCGACACUCUCCGUCGUCUCAACACAAACACCCCUAUCAGGGUGGGGUAGAGGGCAGGAUGAGGUUUGCCGUGCAUUUCGCCAACGCGCUGAACAUGAAUGAAACGUCGUCGUACCACACAGUCCGUGUUUGUCCCUAUCUGGAGAACCAAGACAUCGCGACGACCAGUGUUUUUGCAGAUCUGAUCUUAUAUUCAUUAACUCGUUUUCUCAUGUUAUCGGAAUAUUGAUGCAUGCUAGUUCAAGACAAAGAAGAUUUGUAUUAAGGGACUUUACUGAAAGCUGACAACUGUUAGGAACGUAUCAGAGAAGGGUAUGCCAGACUGCGAACAUGCAGCAACUGAAAUAACUGUGACUGACAGCUUCACCGUCACAUUGAGCGGAUUCGUUCUUCAAUGCUGUGUUUAUUUAGUAGUACAUUUAUUCCAGUCUUUGAAAUUGUGUGCCACGCAUGAAGGUGAUAGCCCCGUGUUAGUGAUACAGCAGAUCCGUGCAGGUGCUGAUACGGAGUGUCAUGAGUUGCUCAUGUUGAGAGUCGCAGAGUUGACAGAUGUUAAGACUUCGAGUGGCAAUCUUCAGGGCAGAAUCAAUUGUUUGUGAUUCAAUUCUUCUGGAUUCAUCAGAUAAAUCUUUCUAAGAAUAGUUCCUCUAACGAAGCCUGAAGUCAUUGGAAUACGUAUCUGCACCCGUCAAGGUGUAACCGUUUGCUUGACAUAAUGUGAGCAGGACAAAGUGUCGCUGCGCCACAUCAUGUGAAGUCUUUGGUGUAAGGUUUCUCAAUACUCAAUCUUUCAUAAAACUAGACUAAACUUCCUGUCAUACUCAUAGAUAUCAAUCCAAAUAAAAUCAUUUUAUUCAUA